rnacentral:lncRNA from 1 species
UCUGCUAAAUGACUUAAAUGUAAAUGUAAGUGACCUCUUCUCUUGGAAUAGAAAUCCACAGGUGGAGUACCCGCUCCACCAUCCCAUUUCCACAGUGGUGCUACCAUGGGGAUGAUGGGAGGUGGUUGUGGAUGAUUGUUUCCAUUCUUCACAGGGACACUGGUUGUGAGGAAGAUCUCCUCCCUCUCUGCAGGGACACUAGCCUUUGGGACGAUCCACUCCCUGUGCGCAGGGACGCUGGCCUUUGGGAAGAUUCCUUUCCUCUGCGCAGUGACACUGGCCAUCAGGAGGAUCAACUCCCUUUGUGCAGGGGUGAGGUGUGAUGCUCUGAGGAUCUUCUUCUUCCGAGCAGUGAUAGAAGCUGCUGGAAGAAUCCCCUCCCUCUGUGCAGGGAUGAGGCCUGAUGCUCGGAGAAUCCCCUCCCUCUGUGCAGGGACACUGGCUGUUUGGAGAAACCCCUCCCUCUGUGCAGGGACACUGGCUGUUUGGAGAAACCCCUCCCUCUGUGCAGGGACACUGGCUGAUUGGAGAAUCUCCUCCCUCUGUGCAGGGACACUGGCUGAUUGGAGAAUCUCCUCCCUCUGUGCAGGGACACUGGCUGUUUGGAGAAUCUCCUCCCUCUGUGCAGGGAUGAGGCCUGAUGAUCGGAGGAUCUCCUCCCUCUGCACAGUGAUGCUAGCUGCUGAGAGAAUCCCCUCCCUCUGUGAAGGUACACUGGCUGUUUGGAGGAUUCCCUCCCUCUGUGCAGGGACACUGGCUGUUUGGAGGAUUCCCUCCCUCUGUGCAGGGACACUGGCUGUUUGGAGGAUUCCCUCCCUCUGUGAAGGUACACUGGCUGUUUGGAGGAUACCCUCCCUCUGUGACAGGAUGAGGCCUGAUGCUUGGACGAUCUCCUCCCUCUGCACAGCAACUUCGGCUGCUGUGAUGAUCUGCAGGAAUUCUGUAGAAGCAGCCUUUAUUUUCAGACUCUGCAGGCCUGCUGGGAGGAAACAUAUUACAAUAAACAGAAGAAGGUCAUGGUCCAUUAUCUGCUGCUCCAGAGUCAAGGCCAGGUCCCGCCCCAUGUCACCACGGAGCACAUGAGCAACUGGCUGGUGUCUCAGGGCAAAAAAUCCCUUAGGGAGAGGGUGUGGAAGGAAACCCUGGAGGAGGGAAACGACCUCGCUCGGCUGGCCUGGGAAGUAAACACUUGCCUAAAAAUGAUGGACAUAGAGCACGAGGCUUUCUGCAAGCUCCGCCGCUCCAUGCACUCCACCUCGCCAGCUGACAUGUGAGUUCCAUGUACUGCCCUGCAUGACUUGAUCCAUUUAUCUACACAUCUGGAACUACGCAGAAACAGACUAAGACAGUGUUCUCUGUGAGGACAUUGCACAUCGUUUA